ensembl:lncRNA CD27-AS1 CD27 antisense RNA 1
ACACAGGAAAGGGCCCUGACAAGAGGAUGGGACUGCAGUUGUGGCUGCCAGGGCCCCGGCCAGGGUGAAAACAAGGAACAUUCCAGAGAAGAUCACAAGGAUGCGAAUAAAAUCGGAGCUGCACAGGGAUCUUUGGGCUGUAAUAGGAGGGGACACACAGGGGUUAGGGGAGGGUCUAGCCCUUGGCUCCCUCAGCCCAGCCCUCCUGUCACCUUGCCUCUCCCCUUUCCCCCACCUUAUUCUAUCCCACCCGCCACCGUUGGCCAACUCCUCUCCUAAACAGUGGACUCUGCUUUUUCCCCUCCUCUUAUCCCUAAUCCUAGGAGCUUUCUGUCUGGCUUCCCUCCUGGCCCCUCGUGUAUGCAUUCUCUCUAGCGGUGGGGAUUAAGGAGAAAACUCACGUGGCCAGUGGGUAGAGAGAGUCCGGGCAGGCAGCUGCCUGAAGUCAGCCAGAGUCUGCAUGUGCCCAGCUGUCCUGGCCUCCAGCAUCUCUGGAAAAACAGAGACAGAAUGAGUAGCAGCAGGGGACCCCAUAGGGCACAUCUGAAGGCCUGAGAGGUGCUGGAUGGGAUGGGAAGGCAGAAACAGGCUGACCUUAUCUAGGGGUAGGAGUGGGGAGUACUGGUUGGGGUAUCACCGCUACCCCACGUGAUGGCACAGAGAGUUGCCUGGAACUUACCACUGACAUAAGGACAAGGAGAGGGACAAAUUCCUUCUUGGCAUCCUUAUGGCCCUGUGACCUGCUAAUGAAUGCUGACUCUGAGUUGCUACUAGAAUUUGGUUUCCUUGUGGCUUCCCAGGAAUUGGUCUCACUCUGCUCACUCUGUCUCCCAAGCUGGAGUGCAGUGGUACAGUCACGGCUCACUGCAGCCUCCACUUCCUGGACUCAAGUGAUCUUCUCACUUCAGCCUUCUGAGUAGCUGGGACUACAGCCCCCUCUGCAGCUCUUCAUGGGGGUCCACUCAAGUCAGAAGCCACAUUUGGGUGUGAUUCAGAGAGCUGUUUAUGCAAAACCAGCUUUGUCACCAUCAGGCAAGGCACCUGAAUUCCCACCGCAGAGAGUGUUGUGGCCGUGAGGACUUUUCUGUCACCAGCCAUUUCCAGGUAGACCCAGUGUAAUCACAAGCAUCCUUGUAAGUGGCAAAGAGGCAGAGGAGACAGCGCCAGAGAGGCAGCUGCAUGAGAAGGAUCAAGAUGUUGCUGACUUUGAAGUUGGAAGAAGAAGGCCAUGAGCCUCAGUAUGUGGGCGGCUUCUAGAAGCUGGAAGGGGCAAGGAGAUGGAUUUGACCCUUCAGCCUCCAGGGGCAGCUGUACCUGCCAUCACUGAUUGUAGCCUGGUGAGGCCUGUUUUAGACUUCUGACCUGUAGAGCUGUAACAUAAUACAUUUGGGUUGUUUUCAACCACUAAGUUUGUGGUAAUUUGUUGUAGCAGCUGUAGAAAAUGAAUACAUAUGAAUCCUCUGGCAUUUGUUUGAGAUUUGCUCUAUGGCCUAGUAUGUGGUUGUAAAUGUUCCAUCUGUGCCUGAAAAAAUGUAUAUUUCUAAUUCAGUAGUCUC